GGGCCAUAGCUCAGUGGUGAAGCAUCUGUUUCGCAUGCCGAGGGACUAGGGUUCAAUCCCCAACAUCUCCA